CCUACGGGUGGCUGCAGUGGGGAAUAUUGCACAAUGGGCGAAAGCCUGAUGCAGCAACGCCGCGUGAAGGAAGAAGGCCUUCGGGUCGUAAACUUCUGUCCUUGGGGAAGAAGAACUGACGGUACCCAAGGAGGAAGCCCCGGCUAACUACGUGCCAGCAGCCGCGGUAAUACGUAGGGGGCAAGCGUUAUCCGGAAUUAUUGGGCGUAAAGAGUACGUAGGCGGCACGUAAAGUCUGGUGUUAAAGGCAGAGGCUCAACUUCUGUACGGCACUGGAUACUUGCGAGCUAGAAUGCGGUAGAGGUAAAGGGAAUUCCUGGUGUAGCGGUGAAAUGCUUAGAUAUCAGGAGGAACAUCGGUGGCGUAAGCGCUUUACUGGGCCGUAAUUGACGCUGAGGAACGAAAGCCAGGGUAGCAAAUGGGAUUAGAUACCCGAGUAGUC
rnacentral:rRNA from 1 species